CUAGAAGAAUGCUUUUUCUUUUUUUUUUUUUUUUGAGAGAUAAGUAGCACGUUACCCGCUUCAUUUAUUUCAUUUAAAAAUAAACUUAGCUGGAAAUGUGAAUCAACUAGAAUUCAAACUUGGGUCUCGGAUACCAACCACCAAACCCUUUGCCACUUGCUCUAGGGACGGUCGGUGUGAGCUAGGAGAAUGCUGUGGACCUCAUGUACAUGUAUAUAAAAAUAAAAUAAUAAUUUUGUUUUUCUUAUAAAGUGAAUAAAAAAAUAGUAUAAAUGUUUUUUUGGGUAAACUUAAAAUGCCAUUAUUGUGGUUUCGUACUUUCUCACUUUAGUACCUUGUGUUUUAAAGUGUAUCAAGCUAGUAUCGUAUGGUUUCAUUUUUAUCUUUUCGUCAGCUUUUCCGUUAAUAUUUCGUUAAAUUAUAUACAAAAUAUUUCAGAUAUCCCACCUAAGUUUAUUGAAUAUACAACAAAAUAUGUUUUAGACGACACUUUUUAGACGACGCUUUAUUCUAGAGUUUUUAAUAUUCGACAUUUACUGACACUAUGAUUAAGCGUCGCCAAUAAACAUAUUUUUAUCAAAUAUUUAUAGAAAUUUUUCGACGGUAUAUUUAUCCCGACAUGUUUACUUAACGACUCUUUACUCAACGCUUUUACAAGCGUCGGAAUUAUUUUUGCCGACGCUUUAAAGCGUCACUAUUUAUUGUUUAAAAUGUCCUUAAAUGCAAGAUUUUUUGUAGUGAAUUAUUAUUCACUUUUGUACCCUUUAAUUUUAACUUUGUCACUGAUUUAACGAAAAAAUUAGUGGAACCAAUAAUAAAAAGAUACAAAUGAAACUAUAGGACACUAAACUGAUACACUUUAAAUCACGGGGUAUUAAAGUGAGAAAGUGUGAAAUUACAAUGGUGGUAUUUGAAGUUUUUUCUUUUUAUUUCUAAUGAGAAUUUUUUUUUCACCAAAAUUUAUUUUUCACAUGUUUACAGUCAAACAGCCUCUAAGGUAUCGUUUGGUUAAUUUGGGGAUGAGCAAAAGAUGGCUAUUCCAAGAAUAGAUAUAAAUUGAGGUAUAAACGGAGAUUAUAUCAAUUUUAAGUUUGGAUGGAAAAUUGGGUUAUUUUUGGGAAUAAAAAAAAUAACGUUUGGUUAGAUAAGAUGGAAUAAGAAUUAAACUUGUUAGUUAUAAAUAAAAAAAUAUGACAUUUUCUUUAUAUUAGAAUUUGGAUUUUUAUAUUUUAUAUUUAUAUUUUAGAAUUUAAAAUAUAAACUUUUAAAUUUUCUAAUUUCAAAAGUUUGAAAUUAAAAUUAAUUUAAAAUCUCAAAAUUUUAAUUUAAAUAUUAAUUUUAGAUUCAAAAUUUUAAUUUAAAUUUAAAUUUUUAAAUUUCAAACUUUAAAUUUAAGAUCAAAUUUAAAUUUAAUAAAUAUAAAAUAUCAAAUUUUAAAUUUCAAAAUUAAAAUAUCAAAAUUAAAAUUUAUAAUUUAUAAUUUAUAAUUUAAAAUUAUAAACUUUAAUUUUGAGAUUAUAAAUUAUAAAUUUUAAAAAUUUAAAAUUUUAAUUUUUAAAUUUUUAAAAUAAGAAUCGGGGUGGGAACAAUUAAUAAAAAUAAUUUAUUAUAAUAUGUAAAUAUAAAUAAUAUGUAUUAAUAUAGUACAAUUAGUAAUUUUAUAUUAAAAAUAAUGUAUUAUAAUAUGAGUCCGGCUGCUAUGCUAUCGAUAGCACCAAGUACUUGGUGCUAUCAAGUUUUUUGCCGUUAGAUUAACCCUUUGAUUAUUUUUACCCGUUAAAUUAUACUAUUCAACCAACCACCCACUCAACCCUACAGGGCCCACAUCAUCCUAACCGCACAUUUCUCAAUCCAAGGGCUAAAAAACUAAUAGCACCAAUAACUUGGCGCUAUUAAUAGUAUACCAGCCUAGUUCAUUAUAAUAUAUAACAUAUUAUAUUUAUAUAAUUUAUUUUUAAUUCAAUUUAUAAUUUUAAUUAAGUUUGAAAUUAAGAAUUGGAAUAGCACUAUUCCACCAAAAUAAUGGAAUAGUAAAUCUCAAGCUAUUCCGGGAUGAUCGGAAAUAGCAAGGUAUGACCGGGAUAAAAUAUCCCGGCAAAAAAUUCCCGUUUGGCGGAAUAGCGGGGAUAACUUUCGAAAGAUAGUGGGUUCACUACAACAAAAACGGUCUAUAGCGACACUUUUAAAUAUUGGUACAGAUCAAAAAAAGUGCUGCUGGCUAAAUUACCGGCACUUUUAAAAAGUGUUGCUAUAUAUGGGGCCGCUAGUUAUAUAGUGACAGUUAAAGAGUAUAGCUAUAACCUAAAAAGAGUGCUGCUAAUUUAGCAAUACUUAUUUAAGCAUCUAGCAACCGCCGGAACUCUAUCUCGUUGGCUGCGGUGGCGGAGGAGGACGAGAGGGAAGAGCUAUUCGUCUAGAAUUUCAGUGGAUUGAGUGAGGGGAGAAGGGGAGAUGGUAAUCAAUUUUUUUUUUUUCUUUUCUGUUUGUAAUCGGGCCAAAUGGACUGAGUUGGAUAGGUUGAGUAGAGUAACAUUUUAUUUUUUAUUGGAUUCAGCUUUAUAUUUAGACAUUAGUAGAUAUUUUUUAAAGUUUUGGACAUUUAGACAAAAGUGUCUCAAAUAUGUGUCCAUAUAACCCAAUUCUGUUGUAGCGAUUUUUUAUAAAUAAAAAAAUAAUGAUAUUAUCCUCUUAUUAUAUUUGAAUUUGAAUAAGAAAGAUAGUGGUUUUUUUAUAAAUAAAAAAUAAUGAUAUUGUUCUCUUAUUAUAUUUGAAUUUGAAUUUUUA
rnacentral:lncRNA from 1 species